GGGGCCAUAGCUCAGCUGGCUAGAGUGCUUGACUGGCAGUCAAGAGGUCGAGGGUUCGACUCCCUCUGGCUCCA
rnacentral:tRNA from 3 species